rnacentral:rRNA from 1 species
ACGGGAGAGUAACACGUGGGAACGUGCCCUUUGGUUCGGAAUAACUCAGGGAAACUUGAGCUAAUACCGGAUAAGCCCUUCGGGGGAAAGAUUUAUUGCCAUUGGAGCGGCCCGCGUCGGAUUAGCUAGUUGGUGAGGUAAUGGCUCACCAAGGCGACGAUCCGUAGCUGGUCUGAGAGGAUGACCAGCCUCACUGGGACUGAGACACGGCCCAGACUCCUACGGGAGGCAGCAGUGGGGAAUAUUGGACAAUGGGCGCAAGCCUGAUCCAGCCAUGCCGCGUGGAUGAUGAAGGCCCUAGGGUUGUAAAGUCCUUUUAACGGGGAAGAUAAUGACGGUACCCGUAGAAUAAGCCCCGGCUAACUUCGUGCCAGCAGCCGCGGUAAUACGAAGGGGGCUAGCGUUGCUCGGAAUUACUGGGCGUAAAGCGCACGUAGGCGGACCGAUAAGUCGGAGGUGAAAUCCUGGAGCUCAACUCCAGAACUGCCUUCGAAACUGCCGGUCUUGAGUUCGGGAGAGGUGAGUGGAACUGCGAGUGUAGAGGUGAAAUUCGUAGA